AGAGUUUGAUCAUGGCUCAGAUUGAACGCUGGCGGCAGGCCUAACACAUGCAAGUCGAGCGGUAGCACAGAGAGCUUGCUCUCGGGUGACGAGCGGCGGACGGGUGAGUAAUGUCUGGGAAACUGCCUGAUGGAGGGGGAUAACUACUGGAAACGGUAGCUAAUACCGCAUAACGUCGCAAGACCAAAGUGGGGGACCUUCGGGCCUCAUGCCAUCAGAUGUGCCCAGAUGGGAUUAGCUUGUAGGUGGGGUAACGGCUCACCUAGGCGACGAUCCCUAGCUGGUCUGAGAGGAUGACCAGCCACACUGGAACUGAGACACGGUCCAGACUCCUACGGGAGGCAGCAGUGGGGAAUAUUGCACAAUGGGCGCAAGCCUGAUGCAGCCAUGCCGCGUGUGUGAAGAAGGCCUUCGGGUUGUAAAGCACUUUCAGCGGGGAGGAAGGCGGUGAGGUUAAUAACCUCAUCGAUUGACGUUACCCGCAGAAGAAGCACCGGCUAACUCCGUGCCAGCAGCCGCGGUAAUACGGAGGGUGCAAGCGUUAAUCGGAAUUACUGGGCGUAAAGCGCACGCAGGCGGUCUGUCAAGUCGGAUGUGAAAUCCCCGGGCUCAACCUGGGAACUGCAUUCGAAACUGGCAGGCUAGAGUCUUGUAGAGGGGGGUAGAAUUCCAGGUGUAGCGGUGAAAUGCGUAGAGAUCUGGAGGAAUACCGGUGGCGAAGGCGGCCCCCUGGACAAAGACUGACGCUCAGGUGCGAAAGCGUGGGGAGCAAACAGGAUUAGAUACCCUGGUAGUCCACGCUGUAAACGAUGUCGAUUUGGAGGUUGUGCCCUUGAGGCGUGGCUUCCGGAGCUAACGCGUUAAAUCGACCGCCUGGGGAGUACGGCCGCAAGGUUAAAACUCAAAUGAAUUGACGGGGGCCCGCACAAGCGGUGGAGCAUGUGGUUUAAUUCGAUGCAACGCGAAGAACCUUACCUGGUCUUGACAUCCACAGAACUUUCCAGAGAUGGAUUGGUGCCUUCGGGAACUGUGAGACAGGUGCUGCAUGGCUGUCGUCAGCUCGUGUUGUGAAAUGUUGGGUUAAGUCCCGCAACGAGCGCAACCCUUAUCCUUUGUUGCCAGCGGUCCGGCCGGGAACUCAAAGGAGACUGCCAGUGAUAAACUGGAGGAAGGUGGGGAUGACGUCAAGUCAUCAUGGCCCUUACGACCAGGGCUACACACGUGCUACAAUGGCAUAUACAAAGAGAAGCGACCUCGCGAGAGCAAGCGGACCUCAUAAAGUAUGUCGUAGUCCGGAUUGGAGUCUGCAACUCGACUCCAUGAAGUCGGAAUCGCUAGUAAUCGUAGAUCAGAAUGCUACGGUGAAUACGUUCCCGGGCCUUGUACACACCGCCCGUCACACCAUGGGAGUGGGUUGCAAAAGAAGUAGGUAGCUUAACCUUCGGGAGGGCGCUUACCACUUUGUGAUUCAUGACUGGGGUGAAGUCGUAACAAGGUAACCGUAGGGGAACCUGCGGUUGGAUCACCU
rnacentral:rRNA from 2 species